rnacentral:rRNA from 1 species
CGAACACGGAAGUUAAGUCCUCCAUGGCCGAUGAUACUUUGACCGCGAGGUCAUGGGAAAGUAGGUCGCUGCCAGAU